GCAUACCAAUCAAGGCAUGACAUGGACCAGUGGUUGCUAGGAGAUGGGAGAAGGAAACGGAGGAUGGCUGAUAAUUAAGGAGUUUUCUUUCAGGAUGCUAAAAAAGUUGUGGAUGUGAUAGUGAUUGCCCAAUCCUGCAAAAAAUUUAGUGAAUAUGGAAUGGAAUAUGAUGGUUUGUAUAUUAAAUUUUAGUUUAAAAGUGGUAAUGGACCAUUGAGACAUCUUCUUAGGUGUGGAACAUGAUGGAACCCCCCGUAACAGUGGGAAGAGAAUCAAGUAGUUACAGGUAACAGUAUGAGCCUGGACCACAAGGUAAAUAAGUAGCUUCCAGCUCAUACAGCAAGAACCCAAGAUGAAGCUCCUCGGUGGAACAUUCUCCGACCCUUUCUUUUUUCAGAGAUGUGGUGCUAAAUCAAGUAACCUUGCUAAACGGUGCUUGAACAAUGCCCAAGGAAAUCAGAGGAAAUUCACAUAGGCUGACAACAGAG
rnacentral:lncRNA from 1 species